UACGUAGGGUGCGAGCGUUGUCCGGAAUUACUGGGCGUAAAGAGCUCGUAGGUGGUUUGUCGCGUUGUCCGUGAAAACUCACAACUCAAUUGUGGGCGUGCGGGCGAUACGGGCAUCACUGGAGUUCGGCAGGGGAGACUGGAAUUCCUGGUGUAGCGGUGAAAUGCGCAGAUAUCAGGAGGAACACCGGUGGCGAAGGCGGGUCUCUGGGCAACAACUGACGCUGAGGAGCGAAAGCGUGGGGAGCGAACAGG
rnacentral:rRNA from 1 species